rnacentral:tRNA from 1 species
GGAAGUACAGCUCAGUGGUAGAGCGUUCGACUGGGGAUCGAGAGGUCCCCGGUUCGAAUCCGUGUUUUUCUA